rnacentral:lncRNA from 1 species
AUAUAUACAUACAUAUAUAUAUAUAUAUAUAUAUAUAUAUAUAUAUAUAUAUAUAUAUAUAUAUAUAUAUACAGUAUAUAUACAACUUUGAAAUGUGUGUACAUUUCCUGAGGUAGUGAUGCAUUCUUUGGAGAGGGGAAAAAGGCCCGGCACAAAACUGAGGUGCUCCGGAUUGUUGUGACUGAGAUUAUGGAAAAAUGCCCUCAUGUAGGUAAAAAGCAUUCAACUGAUGUUGCAACAAAAAUGUUGGCAAAAUAUCCCAAUCCUCUCCAAGAUGUAAUAGAUGGGAGUAUUGUUGGAACAGGCCACCAUUUCCUUAUCAAACAGUUGCAAAACAGAAUUGAAAAUGUGAGGCACACUUCAACACCCAAAAUAAGAAAAAGAAAACAGACUGAUGUCUCAGACCAGACAAACGAGAUCCCAUUACAAGAGACCGCAGCAAUAAAGGACACUUACGGGUGCAACAAAUGGAAUGUAAAAUGUAUGCCCAUUGAAGAAACUCAAGAGUAGCUGUUUUGGUUUGAUGAACUUGGCAUUUCAGUCCACUUCGAGGAACUCACUGGGAUUGACCUCAAAGAGACAUUCACAUGAAAUUUGGAUUCGAAGGGAAAAAGGCUUCUCGACUACAUGACCACAGUUUGUUUCAGCAAGAAGUUCCUUCAGAAUUAUGCAAAGCUUCAGAGGAUGCGGGGACUGCAGAGUGACUGCUCAAAUGAUGUGAUCGAGAUGCUCCUGCUUCUGCUCAGCUACUUUGAUGAGGAGGAGGAGUCCAUGUUCUUCCAUGUAGAAAAUGGAUGUCUGGCAGAAGAGAUCCAACUGGAGGAAGUGCCUCUGACCCCCGCUGUUAUUGUCUGUCGACAGCCCUGCUAUUCCUCAACAAGGUACAUGCUGAGUCUGGAUCAGAACCUGAUCAACACAAACAUCUCCUCAUUCAUUUUGCAUUGUGCCUCAUGUCCAGGAGCUACUACUGUUUUAAUAUCCAUUAUCCAUCUGAGCUGGCUUCAACUCUGGAGUUUCUUCAAGGGUGAGUAAACAUGGCUUUCUCAUUAUUACUUUCCCUGGUGUAGUCUGGCUCAUAUACACACGCAGACAGACAGGCACAUGCAUGCAGACAGACAGGCACAUGCAAGUACAGACAGACAGAAAUGUGCACACACAGACAGGCACGCGCACAGACAUGAAGGCACGCACACACGCAGACAGACAGACACACAUACAUUUAUGCAUUGACAGAUGUAUUUUUUUAAUUUACCACAAUAUAACUUCAUUAUUAAAACAUAAAAAUACGGAAUAUUCUGGAUAUUUUAUGUAUAAUAUACAGGACCUCUCCAUUUAAAAUGCAAAGUUUUACUGUUGUUUUGCAGUUAAAUUAAUUAUAUUGUUUGAUAUUUCCCUGUUAAUUUGAUUGUUUAUUCAGUGGUGGACAGUAACGGAGUAGCUUUACUUCGUUACUGUACUUAAGUAAAUUUUUCAAGUAGGCUAUCUGUACUUUACUGGAGUAGUUUUAUUUCGAGUAACUUUUACUUUUACUUCACUACAUUCCAAAGCAUAAAAUCGUACUUUUUACUUCACUACAUUUCAUAAAACAUAUCGUUACUCCCUAUAAUAUAUCACAUGCUCCGACACGCAGAAGCGGUGUCUGAUUCAUCAUGAACUAACUGAGUCUUUUCAAAAUAUACUUUUAAAUCGGAUCGCGAAUCGCACCAAACGAUUCGUUUACGAAUUAGAAUGAUCCGAUUGCAUUAAGGGGCAAGGAACUCGACCGGAAGUUGAAGUCGGGUGGGGGCUGCCAUCUUUUAGCAGAACUUCACUUGCGUUAGCAUUCCCAUUGACUCCCAUCCAUUUUGGCGUCACUUUGACAGCGAAUAACUUUACAUCUGAGGCGUUUAAAGACUCUGUUUGUCCAUUAUUUAUUUCUAAAGAUACACGACAAUGUAUAAAGGGCUCCAUUACCUUCUAUGUUACAUUAUGGCCCCGUAUAAACAGUUUUUGUAAAAAAUAGGCUAACGAUUGCGUCAUAGCCACUCGGCUCUCUGUCGCAUUACCGUACAGACAGGUGGAGAAGCUCGCAGGCAAUUAACUUAAUAUGGCGUACUGGCGUUACAUUUUAAAAUACUAUACAAAAUAAUUAAUCAGAAUACUUACUCCUGCUCACUCACGCCAAAGAACUCCCCGCUCAAGCUCGCCGUCUCUGCAAGAUUAACGAUGGCAGUUUGCACGCACAGCUACUAGAAGAUUUACAUCUGGCAGACAGGUUGCUGACGUCGUCAAGCUUCGUUUGAGUCUGCGCGUCAGAAACGGAAGUGCUAAAAAACGCUAAAAAUGGGCUUCACUUGUCUCAAUUGAGUUCCAAUGGGGUUGCUGUGUCCAUUUCUUUUACUGUCUAUGGAUUGCAGCUGUUCUGGAGUCGACCACUCACUGAUUCAAAUGAACCGUUUAGUGUGAGUCUACAGAAGUA